UCGGAUAUGGUGUAACGGCUAACAUUGCCGCCUCUCAUGGAGAGUUCCGCGGCAGCUCGGGGUUCGAUUCCCCGUAUCUGAA